GGACAUGGCUCAGUGAUACAGCAUCUGUUUUGCAUGCAGAAGGUCCCAGGUUUAAUCCCUGAAAUCUCCA
rnacentral:tRNA from 1 species